UACGGGGGGGGUAAGCGUUGUUCGGAAUUACUGGGCGUAAAGGGCUUGUAGGUGGCCAACUAAGUCAGACGUGAAAUCCCUCGGCUUAACCGGGGAACUGCGUCUGAUACUGGAUGGCUUGAGUUUGGGAGAGGGAUGCGGAAUUCCAGGUGUAGCGGUGAAAUGCGUAGAUAUCUGGAGGAACACCGGUGGCGAAGGCGGCAUCCUGGACCAACACUGACGCUGAGUGAGCGAAAGCCAGGGGAGCAAACGGG
rnacentral:rRNA from 1 species